UGAAAAAUAGCUGCAGAUAAACAACCACAACUUACGUAUACGACGGCACAUAUCUUUAUUUAUAAAUGUCAAAAUAUACCCAUAUAUAAUACAAAUUCAAUAUAGCUAGACCGCCUCCGUGGUCGAGGGGUUAGAGUCGAUGACUUCUAAUCCAGUCACCUCUCUGGCGUGGGUUCGAUCCCCGGGAGAUGCUUUGGUAGGACGGUGGUCUAGUACUGGUGAAACUCUCCAGGAACGAUGGUUAGGAAACUACCCGCCCAUAUAACUUAACUACUGUUGGAAAAAUGCGUAAAAUGAAACAAACAAACAAACAAACAGACAAAAACAAUACAGCUAGGUUGCAACACUGACUAGCAAUCACAGUGCAAUGUGGAUAUAUCAACUCAAGGAUCUGGAAACAAAGUGAUCACUCGGAGGUAUUAAUCACAACAAAAAUACAAGAGAAUUGCAGAAUUACAGUUUGAUCGAGUAUGUACAUGAGGGAUAAUGAACACGUGCAACAUCCAUCACGCCCUUCUAGCACCGGUUUGAGCGGUACUCAACAAAAUUAAGUCGACAAGAUAUAUUCAAAAGAGUUACUUUCAAAAUGUAGGAAAUAAUGUAAAUGUAGUCUUUAAUCGAUUUCAGUUAAGAAACUAUCUUUAACCCAGGCUAGAUUUCGCUUUUGGAUCUACACAAAGAAAACUAGUAAAAAAGGACACGAAAUAUACGAGUAUAGAUAUGAAUAUCAUCAUUUGUAUAAUAAGGUGUAUUUUAACACAACAAAAAUUUAUGUAUCGCCUUAAUGUCAUGCUUCACAAUUAUCCUGUUUUUAGAUGUAUUUAAAUUUCUAUAUACUUAUUAAAUAGUUGUUGUGAGCGAAGGCUAGAUUAAACUUUUGAAAAGAAAUUAUUUAUGUGAUUAAGAAUCGCUACACUACCAGUUGUAUGAAAACUUUCCUUUCCAAUUUUCAUGAUUCGUCCUCAAGAGAUAUACAAAGUUUAAGUCUCCGGAACAAAUAUUUUAAGGCAUUUCUUUAGUCUGUUUUCCGAAAACUGUGAACACACUCGACAAUUGCAGAAUCGAGGUGUUGGCGCUGAAUAAAUGUUAGACCCGAAAGGAAAAAACAAAACCAGGGACCGUUACUAACAGGCAUUCUACUUUUGGGAUGGAUUCUUCACCACUU